rnacentral:rRNA from 1 species
CCUACGUGGAGCAGCAGUGGGGAAUAUUGGACAAUGGGCGAAAGCCUGAUCCAGCCAUGCCGCGUGUGUGAAGAAGGCCUUCGGGUUGUAAAGCACUUUCAGUGGGGAAGAAAGCCUUGGGGCUAAUACCCUCGAGGAAGGACAUCACCCACAGAAGAAGCACCGGCUAACUCCGUGCCAGCAGCCGCGGUAAUACGGAGGGUGCGAGCGUUAAUCGGAAUUACUGGGCGUAAAGCGCGCGUAGGCGGUCUGAUAAGCCGGUUGUGAAAGCCCCGGGCUCAACCUGGGAACGGCAUCCGGAACUGUCAGGCUAGAGUGCAGGAGAGGAAGGUAGAAUUCCCGGUGUAGCGGUGAAAUGCGUAGAGAUCGGGAGGAAUACCAGUGGCGAAGGCGGCCUUCUGGACUGACACUGACGCUGAGGUGCGAAAGCGUGGGUAGCAAACAGGAUUAGAUACCCGAGUAGUC